GUGGGGAAUCUUAGACAAUGGGCGCAAGCCUGAUCUAGCCAUGCCGCGUGAGCGAUGAAGGCCUUAGGGUUGUAAAGCUCUUUCGCUGGGGAAGAUAAUGACUGUACCCAGUAAAGAAGCCCCGGCUAACUCCGUGCCAGCAGCCGCGGUAAUACGGAGGGGGCUAGCGUUGUUCGGAAUUACUGGGCGUAAAGCGCGCGUAGGCGGAUUGGAAAGUUGGGGGUGAAAUCCCGGGGCUCAACCUCGGAACUGCCUUCAAAACUCCCAGUCUUGAGUUCGAGAGAGGUGAGUGGAAUUCCGAGUGUAGAGGUGAAAUUCGUAGAUAUUCGGAGGAACACCAGUGGCGAAGGCGGCUCACUGGCUCGAUACUGACGCUGAGGUGCGAAAGCGUGGGGAGCAAACAGGAUUAGAAACCCCAGUAGUCC
rnacentral:rRNA from 1 species